CCACCAUCAUUACUUCCAGCCUCCGCCCGCCCUUGCGCCGCUUAUAAAAGGGUGCCGAGCCCCUACCGCCUCCCCACACCCUUGGCACCGCCUCCCUGCUCGCUCUCUCUUCCCUACCGCCCGCACGCCGCCGCCGGUAACCCGCCGCCGCCAUCUAUUGGUCAAGGUGAGGGCCAAAAUAGGCCCCCCACACUCUCCUCUCCUUCCCCCACCACUCGGCUUCGCCGCCGGCGAGCUAGGCCGGCCGUCCCGCCGCCGGCCAUCCCCCUCCCCAUUUCCUGUUGUGGCCAAAGGAAGAAGAAAGGAUAAAAUCCCUCCCCUCUCGAUCUAACCCUCUAGUUUCCCUUAUUCGCAAACAAGCCCUUCCACCAUUUCAGAAAUAAUUACAAAUAGGUCCCUAGUUCUCGCGGUUUAGUCCGAAACCUUGUUUUAAGCCCC
rnacentral:lncRNA from 1 species